rnacentral:piRNA from 1 species
UAGCCACAGUGUCUACGGCUCCAGGGU